GGCACGGACAGGCUCCCCAGGAGAAGCGAUUUACUUGACCAAUGUCACAAUGCUGGGGGUAGGGGUACAGAGAAGAACUGAAAUGAGGGUUGGAGAAAAAUUAACAAGUCUGUCGGUGGAAAUGUCGUUCCUACUAAGGAUAACCGGGCAAGCAGUUCUUAUAUCAUCAUCCACCGUGUGUUUCGGGGUCUGGCAUCAGAACCUGGGGAGAAGAUCACCACAAGUCACUGGUAACAUUACCAACCCCCAUGUGAAGAGACAGAGGAACCGAGGCCAGAGAAGUUAACUAACCCAUCCAAAGGCACACAGCAAGUAAGUGUCACGGCUGGGUGCCUCAUACUCUUUCUCUCUGUUUUCUAAGUCCUUUGUCCUUAU